rnacentral:rRNA from 1 species
GGGUUGUGAGGUUAAGCGACUAAGCGUACACGGUGGAUGCCCUGGCAGUCAGAGGCGAUGAAGGGCGUGCUAAUCUGCGAUAAGCGCCGGUAAGGUGAUAUGAACCGUUAUAACCGGCGAUACCCGAAUGGGGAAACCCAGUGUGAUUCGUCACACUAUCAUUAACUGAAUCCAUAGGUUAAUGAGGCGAACCGGGGGAACUGAAACAUCUAAGUACCCCGAGGAAAAGAAAUCAACCGAGAUUCCCCCAGUAGCGGCGAGCGAACGGGGAGGAGCCCAGAGCCUGAAUCAGCAUGUGUGUUAGUGGAAGCGUCUGGAAAGGCGCGCGAUACAGGGUGACAGCCCCGUACACAAAAGCGCAUGUGCUGUGAGCUCGAUGAGUAGGGCGGGACACGUGGUAUCCUGUCUGAAUAUGGGGGGACCAUCCUCCAAGGCUAAAUACUCCUGACUGACCGAUAGUGAACCAGUACCGUGAGGGAAAGGCGAAAAGAACCCCGGCGAGGGGAGUGAAAAAGAACCUGAAACCGUGUACGUACAAGCAGUGGGAGCACAGGUUUACCUGUGUGACUGCGUACCUUUUGUAUAAUGGGUCAGCGACUUAUAUUCUGUAGCAAGGUUAACCGUAUAGGGGAGCCGGAGGGAAACCGAGUCUUAACCGGGCGUUAAGUUGCAGGGUAUAGACCCGAAACCCGGUGAUCUAGCCAUGGGCAGGUUGAAGGUUGGGUAACACUAACUGGAGGACCGAACCGACUAAUGUUGAAAAAUUAGCGGAUGACCUGUGGCUGGGGGUGAAAGGCCAAUCAAACCGGGAGAUAGCUGGUUCUCCCCGAAAGCUAUUUAGGUAGCGCCUCGUGAAUUCAUCUCCGGGGGUAGAGCACUGUUUCGGCUAGGGGGCCAUCCCGGCUUACCAACCCGAUGCAAACUGCGAAUACCGGAGAAUGUUAUCACGGGAGACACACGGCGGGUGCUAACGUCCGUCGUGAAGAGGGAAACAACCCAGACCGCCAGCUAAGGUCCCAAAGUCAUGGUUAAGUGGGAAACGAUGUGGGAAGGCCCAGACAGCCAGGAUGUUGGCUUAGAAGCAGCCAUCAUUUAAAGAAAGCGUAAUAGCUCACUGGUCGAGUCGGCCUGCGCGGAAGAUGUAACGGGGCUAAACCAUGCACCGAAGCUGCGGCAGCGACGUUUAUGCGUUGUUGGGUAGGGGAGCGUUCUGUAAGCCUGCGAAGGUGGCCUGUGAGGGUUGCUGGAGGUAUCAGAAGUGCGAAUGCUGACAUAAGUAACGAUAAAGCGGGUGAAAAGCCCGCUCGCCGGAAGACCAAGGGUUCCUGUCCAACGUUAAUCGGGGCAGGGUGAGUCGACCCCUAAGGCGAGGCCGAAAGGCGUAGUCGAUGGGAAACGGGUUAAUAUUCCCGUACUUGGUGUUACUGCGAAGGGGGGACGGAGAAGGCUAUGUUGGCCGGGCGACGGUUGUCCCGGUUUAAGCGUGUAGGCUGGUUUUCCAGGCAAAUCCGGAAAAUCAAGGCUGAGGCGUGACGACGAGGCACUACGGUGCUGAAGCAACAAAUGCCCUGCUUCCAGGAAAAGCCUCUAAGCAUCAGGUAACAUCAAAUCGUACCCCAAACCGACACAGGUGGUCAGGUAGAGAAUACCAAGGCGCUUGAGAGAACUCGGGUGAAGGAACUAGGCAAAAUGGUGCCGUAACUUCGGGAGAAGGCACGCUGACACGUAGGUGAAGUGAUUUACUCAUGGAGCUGAAGUCAGUCGAAGAUACCAGCUGGCUGCAACUGUUUAUUAAAAACACAGCACUGUGCAAACACGAAAGUGGACGUAUACGGUGUGACGCCUGCCCGGUGCCGGAAGGUUAAUUGAUGGGGUCAGCGCAAGCGAAGCUCCUGAUCGAAGCCCCGGUAAACGGCGGCCGUAACUAUAACGGUCCUAAGGUAGCGAAAUUCCUUGUCGGGUAAGUUCCGACCUGCACGAAUGGCGUAAUGAUGGCCAGGCUGUCUCCACCCGAGACUCAGUGAAAUUGAACUCGCUGUGAAGAUGCAGUGUACCCGCGGCAAGACGGAAAGACCCCGUGAACCUUUACUAUAGCUUGACACUGAACAUUGAGCCUUGAUGUGUAG